CCUACGGGAGGCAGCAGUGAGGAAUAUUGGUCAAUGGACGAGAGUCUGAACCAGCCAAGUAGCGUGAAGGAUGACUGCCCUAUGGGUUGUAAACUUCUUUUAUAUGGGAAUAAAAUGUUCCACGUGUGGGAUUUUGUAUGUACCAUAUGAAUAAGGAUCGGCUAACUCCGUGCCAGCAGCCGCGGUAAUACGGAGGAUCCGAGCGUUCUCCGGAUUUAUUGGGUUUAAAGGGAGCGUAGGUGGAUUGUUAAGUCAGUUGUGAAAGUUUGCGGCUCAACCGUAAAAUUGCAGUUGAAACUGGCAGUCUUGAGUACAGUAGAGGUGGGCGGAAUUCGUGGUGUAGCGGUGAAAUGCUUAGAUAUCACGAAGAACUCCGAUUGCGAAGGCAGUUCACUGGACUGCAACUGACACUGAGGCUCGAAAGUGUGGGUAUCAAACAGGAUUAGAUACCCGAGUAGUC
rnacentral:rRNA from 1 species